UCCGCAUCGUUGUCAAUAGGGCGAACAUGCAUAGAGACUUUUCCGUGUGCUCAGACGAGAGAUUCCUUCUCGUUUGUAAUAAUCGUUGACAGCAGCAUCUCAAUUUCAAAAUAAUGACGCGGGUACGGGUACUAGAGGCCG
ensembl:ncRNA F42G8.16 ncRNA